rnacentral:misc_RNA from 1 species
CUUGCUUCUUCCAUCAUGAUCAAUAUACCUUGAAGAAUGAGACAAGUACGGUGGAUAGCUUGGGAGUGAUGGAGCCCCAUAAUUGUACGAAUCAUGCUGGUAGUGAUCCUGAUGCCUUGACUGUUUGCUUCCCAUAAUCAGAUCCUCAACUUUCAGAUGCUUCACAACUGGAUGAACUAUCUUUAAUGAAGCCUAACUUCUGCCCUCUAACUCAAAGAGGUCAAUUGCAAACAAACUGAAAUGCUGAAUCCCAGUGCAG